GUGGGGAAUCUUCCGCAAUGGACGAAAGUCUGACGGAGCAACGCCGCGUGAGUGAUGAAGGUCUUCGGAUUGUAAAACUCUGUUGUCAGGGACGAAUGUGCGAACGUUGAAUAAGCGUUUGUAUUGACGGUACCUGACGAGGAAGCCACGGCUAACUACGUGCCAGCAGCCGCGGUAAUACGUAGGUGGCAAGCGUUGUCCGGAAUUAUUGGGCGUAAAGAGCAUGUAGGCGGGCUUUUAAGUCCGACGUGAAAAUGCGGGGCUUAACCCCGUAUGGCGUUGGAUACUGGAAGUCUUGAGUGCAGGAGAGGAAAGGGGAAUUCCCAGUGUAGCGGUGAAAUGCGUAGAUAUUGGGAGGAACACCAGUGGCGAAGGCGCCUUUCUGGACUGUGUCUGACGCUGAGAUGCGAAAGCCAGGGUAGCAAACGGGAUUAGAUACCCUUGUAGUCC
rnacentral:rRNA from 1 species